AUUGAACGCUGGCGGAAUGCUUUACACAUGCAAGUCGAUCGGCAGCACGGACUUCGGUCUGGUGGCGAGUGGCGAACGGGUGAGUAAUGUAUCGGAACGUGCCCAGUCGUGGGGGAUAACGUAGUGAAAAUUACGCUAAUACCGCAUACGAUCUAUGGAUGAAAGCGGGGGAUCGCAAGACUUCGCGCGAUUGGAGCGGCCGAUAUCAGAUUAGGUAGUUGGUGGGGUAAAGGCACACCAAGCCAACGAUCUGUAGCUGGUCUGAGAGGACGACAAGCAACACUGGAAGUGAGACACGGUCCAGACUCCUACUGGAGGCAUCAGUGGGGAAUUUUGGACAAUGGUCGGAAGCCUGAUGCAGCCAUUCGGCGUGCAGGAUGAAGGCCCUCGGGUUGUUAACUGCUUUUGUACAGAACGAAAAGGUUUCUACUAAUACUAGGAGCUCAUGACGGUACUGUAAGAAUAAGCACCGGCUAACUACGUGCCAGCCGCCGCAGUAA
rnacentral:rRNA from 1 species